GAGGGUAUAGCUCAGUGGUAGAGCAUAUGCUUAGCAUACACGAGGUCCUGGGUUCAAUCCCCAGCACCUCCU
rnacentral:tRNA from 1 species